rnacentral:rRNA from 1 species
AUUGAACGCUGGCGGCAGGCCUAACACAUGCAAGUCGAACGAGUGGGCGACGGGUGAGUAAUGUCUGGGAAACUGCCUGAUGGAUGGGAAUAACUACUGGAAACGGUACCUAAUACCGCAUACCAUCAGAUGUUCCCAGAUGGGAUUAGCUAGUUGGUGGGGUAACGGCUCACCAAGGCGACGAUCCCUACUUGGUCUGCGAGGAUGACCAGCCACACUGGAACUGAGACACGGGCCAGACUCCUACGGGAGGAAGAAGUGGGGAAGAUUGGACAAUGGGCGAAAGCCUGAUGCAGCAAUGCCGCGUGUAUGAAGAAGGCCUUCGGAUUGUAAAGUACUUGAAGCGGGGAGGCGUUACCCGCAGAAGAAGCACCGGCUAACUCCGUGCCAGCAGCCGCGGUAAUAC